AACGAACGCUGGCGGCAGGCCUAACACAUGCAAGUCGAACGCAUCGCAAGAUGAGUGGCGCACGGGUGAGUAACACGUGGGAAUGUAUCCUUUGGUUCGGAAUAACGUCUGGAAACGGACGCUAAUACCGGAUGAGCCCUUAGGGGGAAAGAUUUAUCGCCGAAGGAGCAGCCCGCGUCUGAUUAGGUAGUUGGUGGGGUAAAGGCCUACCAAGCCGACGAUCAGUAGCUGGUCUGAGAGGAUGAUCAGCCACACUGGGACUGAGACACGGCCCAGACUCCUACGGGAGGCGGCAGUGGGGAAUAUUGGACAAUGGGCGCAAGCUUGAUCCAGCCAUGCCGCGUGAGUGAUGAAGGCCUUCGGGUUGUAAAGCUCUUUCGCACACGACGAUGAUGACGGUAGUGUGAGAAGAAGCCCCGGCUAACUUCGUGCCAGCCGCCGCCGUAAGAC
rnacentral:rRNA from 1 species